CUUCUGGACACAAGAAAUCCUCCCUGCAGGCCCUUUAUCCAGGCAUACUUGAAGUCAUGUGUUUCUUCCAUCCACUCAGACAAAUCCUCCAUGCUUUACCAGGCAGUCUGCUCUGGGUUGAGAUGGCAACAUUCUUACAUACAGAGACUGGAAAUUAUGUUUUAAUGGCAAAUCAGAGACUACAUCUGGCCUCUCCCAUCAAAGUGAGGGACCCCAGAAGUAAUACCAUGACUUCAAUGACACAACAAUUAUUCAUGCAUACUGAGAAGUGAUCCAGCUCGACUGACUGCACUUGGAACAUCUACCUCCUAAUCUACUGGGCAAAUGGAAUCUAUACAUACAGGGUAAGAACCGUAAUUACCAAAGUGUUUGUGGUUUCUCUUUUCUAAGUGAAGUUACUCUUAAUAUGAAACAUGUAAAAGAGGAAUAUCAUAGAAGAAGCCUUAGACCUUAGAUCUUAUUCCAGAUCUGAUAUCCAUUAAAGUGGGAAAGCCAUACUCCCCCUUUGGGCUUCCAAUUCUACAUGUAAAUCUGGGAACUUCUAGUAGAUAACUAGUAAGCACUCUUUUCUCUGUGUGUUUCUAGGACUCUUUAAAUCUACAAAGAAAUUCAUAGUGGAAAACCACUGCAAAUAUUUUGCUGACAUCUCUUACAAAUCUACAUUGCUGCAUUGUACUAAGUAACACAGAUGAAGGGUAGGGAAGAUUUUCAUCUUCAAACCAAAUAGAAAAUUAAGUCAUCUCUAGAUGAGCCCCUUGACUAUGCCACUCCCAAAUUAAAGGAUCUAUCAUAUCUAGCCUCCUCAGAUGAAUUUGUGGUUUUAUAUUUUUUCUUAGUGGUGGACAAUAUGUCCCUACAUCUUAUUUUUUUAGAUAAAGAUGUGCUACUUGUGUAAACACACUCUUGUAGCCUUAGUAACAGGAAACACAGUGACCCAGGCAGUGAUGAGCUUGGGCCAGAGAUCUUAAUUUGAGUGAAUCUAUACUUUUCCUUUUUUGAUGUGGUAUAAUGUUAACUCUAGUCACCAAGUUGUGAAUUCCUUUUACCAACAACUCAUCAACACUAACUCUUGUACCCCAUCCCCCUAACCCCUGGUAUCCACCAUUAUACAUUAC
rnacentral:lncRNA from 1 species